GCUCACAGGCACAUCAUAUCCAUAACACCUGUGCACUUGUCGGAUGGCUUAGUGAAGACCGCAAGGUUGGAUCUAUCCAUCUACUUUACAUAACAAUUCUGUAACAAAUGUAGUCUUAUUAUAACAUAAUAAAACUUUCAACAACGGAUCUCUUGGCUCUCGCAACGAUGAAGAACGCAGCGAAAUGCGAUACGUAAUGCGAAUUGCAGAAUUCAGUGAAUCAUCAAAUCUUUGAACGCAAAUUGCGCUCUUGGGUAGCCCUAGGAGCACGCCUCUCUCAGUAUCGGUUCAACCACCUCUCAGCAGCGUAUGCAAAUACGUGUUGGCUGGAAAAUGAGAGUGUAAUUUUCACAAUUACUCUCUUUAAGUACAUUGAGUGAGCACCACACAUUUACACGCUCUACUUCGGUAGAAGCCAGUUUCGAGCUGGUCGUGUAUAAGUGACGUGAAUACUGAGCCUUGUGCUCUUACAUUUACGUGUAACUUGUAUAUGACUAUUAAGGUUUUUAAUUGGUGUGUCUAUGGAGAUGCUCAUGUAACGCGGCUCUAGCUGCAAUCGGCUUUGAUUAAUUUUGAAGUCUGAAUUUUGAUCUGAGAUGAAGCGAGACAACCCCCUGAAUUUAAGCAUAUUAAUAAGGGGAGGAAAAGAAACUAACAAGGAUUCCCCUAGUAACGGCGAGUGAAGCGGGAAGAGCUCAAUUUGAAAAUCGACUACCUAAGCGGGUCGUCGAGUUGUAGCCUAGAGACGUACUAUCAGCUG
rnacentral:rRNA from 1 species